rfam:Macleaya cordata isolate BLH2017 scaffold1703, whole genome shotgun sequence.
GGGUGCGAUCAUACCAGCACUAAUGCACCUGAUCCCAUCUGAAAGUUAAGCGUGCUUGGGCGAGAGUAGUACUAGGAUGGGUGACCUCCUAGGAAGUCCUUGGGCGAGAGUAGUAC